rnacentral:rRNA from 1 species
CUUAGUGCCUCCAUCCAGUUGGCCCCCUAGGGAGGCUCCGGUGGUUAACCCCAGGAGGUUUGAUGCCGUCACGUCCUCAAGGGCCCUACGGGAUGGGCCACACACGUGCUACAAUGGCGGUGACAGUGGGGCCCGAAACCGCGAGGUUGAGCAAAUCCCCAAAAGCCGUCUCAGUUCGGAUUGCCCUCUGCCACUCGGGUGCAUGAAGGCGGAAUCGCUUGUAAUCGUGGAUCAGCACGCCACGGUGAAUACGUUCCCGGGCCUUGUACACCCCGCCCCUCCCACCAUGGGAGUUGGUCUUUCCCGCGGCGCUCGCCAACCGCAAGGCGUGCAACCGAGUCGAUCGCUCAACCCC